rnacentral:rRNA from 1 species
AGCUCUCCGAGUGGUGUGGAUGAUUAUUGGGCCUAAAGCAUCCGUAGCCGGCUGUGCAAGUCCCCUGUUAAACCCAACGAUUCAAUCGUUGGCUCGCGGGGGAUACUGCGCGGCUAGGGGGCGAGAGAGGCCGUCGGUAUUCCCGGGGUAGGGGUGAAAUCCUAUAAUCCCGGGAGGACCACCAGUGGCGAAGGCUGUCGGCUAGAACGCGCUCGACGGUGAGGGAUGAAAGCUGGGGGAGCGAACC